rnacentral:rRNA from 1 species
UGCCAGCCGCCGCGGUAAGACGGAGGGGGCUAGCGCUGUCCGGAAUUAUUGGCGUAAAGGGUACGCAGGCGGGUUAAUAAGUCGAAUGUUAAAGAUCGGGGCUCAACCCCGUAAAGCAUUGGAAACUGAUAAACUUGAGUAGUGGAGAGGAAAGUGGAAUUCCUAGUGUAGUGGUGAAAUACGUAGAUAUUAGGAGGAAUACCAGUAGCGAAGGCGACUUUCUGGACACAAACUGACGCUGAGGUACGAAAGCGUGGGGAGCAAACAGGAUUAGAUA